rfam:Ancylostoma duodenale strain Zhejiang A_duodenale-1.0_Cont264146.1, whole genome shotgun sequence.
CCAACGGCCCUCUUUAGGGCCACACAAGCAAUACGAAUACACUUUU